GAUGAACGCUGGCGGCGUGCUUAACACAUGCAAGUCGAACGGUGAAGCAGAGCUUGCUCUGUGGAUCAGUGGCGAACGGGUGAGUAACACGUGAGCAACCUGCCCCUGACUCUGGGAUAAGCGCUGGAAACGGCGUCUAAUACUGGAUUUGAGCUGCGACCGCAUGGUCAGCAGUUGGAAAGAUUUUUCGGUCUGGGAUGGGCUCACGGCCUAUCAGCUUGUUGGUGAGGUAAUGGCUCACCAAGGCGUCGACGGGUAGCCGGCCUGAGAGGGUGACCGGCCACACUGGGACUGAGACACGGCCCAGACUCCUACGGGAGGCAGCAGUGGGGAAUAUUGCACAAUGGGCGAAAGCCUGAUGCAGCAACGCCGCGUGAGGGAUGACGGCCUUCGGGUUGUAAACCUCUUUUAGCAGGGAAGAAGCGAAAGUGACGGUACCUGCAGAAAAAGCGCCGGCUAACUACGUG
rnacentral:rRNA from 1 species